UACGAAGGGGGCGAGCGUUGUUCGGAUUUACUGGGCGUAAAGGGCGCGCAGGCGGUCUUGAAAGUCAGGCGUGAAAUUCCCUGGCUUAACUGGGGGCGUGCGGGCGAUACGGGCAGAUUGGAGUACUGCAGGGGAGACUGGAAUUCCUGGUGUAGCGGUGGAAUGCGCAGAUAUCAGGAGGAACACCGAUGGCGAAGGCAGGUCUCUGGGCCAUUACUGACACUGAGAAGCGAAAGCAUGGGGAGCGAACAGG
rnacentral:rRNA from 1 species